CAGCCGCCGCGGUAAUACGAAGGGUGCAAGCGUUAAUCGGAAUUACUGGGCGUAAAGCGUGCGUAGGCGGUGAGUUAAGUCUGCUGUGAAAUCCCCGGGCUCAACCUGGGAAUGGCAGUGGAUACUGGCUCGCUAGAGUGUGUCAGAGGAUGGUGGAAUUCCCGGUGUAGCGGUGAAAUGCGUAGAUAUACGGAGGAACACCGAUGGCGAAGGCAGCCCCCUGGGCCAACACUGACGCUCAUGCACGAAAGCGUGGGGAGCAAACAGGAUUAGAUACCCGCGUAGUCCCUGUCUCUUAUAC
rnacentral:rRNA from 1 species